UUUGAUCCUGGCUCAGGAUGAACGCUAGCUACAGGCUUAACACAUGCAAGUCGAGGGGCAGCAUUGGAGUAGCAAUACUUCAGAUGGCGACCGGCGCACGGGUGAGUAACACGUAUCCAACCUGCCGCUUACUCGGGGAUAGCCUUUCGAAAGAAAGAUUAAUACCCGAUGGUAUAAAGAGUUCGCAUGUUCUCUUUAUUAAAGAAUUUCGGUAAGCGAUGGGGAUGCGUUCCAUUAGAUUGUUGGCGGGGUAACGGCCCACCAAGUCUACGAUGGAUAGGGGUUCUGAGAGGAAGGUCCCCCACAUUGGAACUGAGACACGGUCCAAACUCCUACGGGAGGCAGCAGUGAGGAAUAUUGGUCAAUGGACGAGAGUCUGAACCAGCCAAGUAGCGUGAAGGAUGACUGCCCUAUGGGUUGUAAACUUCUUUUAUAAGGGAAUAAAGUGAGGGACGUGUCCCUUUUUGUAUGUACCUUAUGAAUAAGGAUCGGCUAACUCCGUGCCAGCAGCCGCGGUAAUACGGAGGAUCCGAGCGUUAUCCGGAUUUAUUGGGUUUAAAGGGAGCGUAGGUUGACAUAUAAGUCAGCUGUGAAAGUUUACGGCUCAACCGUGAAAUUGCAGUUGAUACUGUAUGUCUUGAGUGUACAAGAGGUGGGCGGAAUUCGUGGUGUAGCGGUGAAAUGCUUAGAUAUCACGAAGAACUCCAAUUGCGAAGGCAGCUCACUGGGGUACAACUGACACUGAGGCUCGAAAGUGUGGGUAUCAAACAGGAUUAGAUACCCUGGUAGUCCACACAGUAAACGAUGAAUACUCGCUGUUUGCGAUAUACAGUAAGCGGCCAAGCGAAAGCAUUAAGUAUUCCACCUGGGGAGUACGCCGGCAACGGUGAAACUCAAAGGAAUUGACGGGGGCCCGCACAAGCGGAGGAACAUGUGGUUUAAUUCGAUGAUACGCGAGGAACCUUACCCGGGCUUGAAUUGCAGAGGAACAUAGUUGAAAGAUUAUGGCCGCAAGGUCUCUGUGAAGGUGCUGCAUGGUUGUCGUCAGCUCGUGCCGUGAGGUGUCGGCUUAAGUGCCAUAACGAGCGCAACCCUUAUCAUUAGUUACUAACAGGUCAUGCUGAGGACUCUAGUGAGACUGCCGUCGUAAGAUGUGAGGAAGGUGG
rnacentral:rRNA from 1 species